rnacentral:rRNA from 1 species
GGUGAACGCUGGCGGCGUGCCUAAUACAUGCAAGUCGAGCGAACGGACGAGAAGCUUGCUUCUCUGAUGUUAGCGGCGGACGGGUGAGUAACACGUGGAUAACCUACCUAUAAGACUGGGAUAACUUCGGGAAACCGGAGCUAAUACCGGAUAAUAUUUUGAACCGCAUGGUUCAAUAGUGAAAGACGGUCUUGCUGUCACUUAUAGAUGGAUCCGCGCUGCAUUAGCUAGUUGGUAAGGUAACGGCUUACCAAGGCAACGAUGCAUAGCCGACCUGAGAGGGUGAUCGGCCACACUGGAACUGAGACACGGUCCAGACUCCUACGGGAGGCAGCAGUAGGGAAUCUUCCGCAAUGGGCGAAAGCCUGACGGAGCAACGCCGCGUGAGUGAUGAAGGUCUUCGGAUCGUAAAACUCUGUUAUUAGGGAAGAACAUAUGUGUAAGUAACUGUGCACAUCUUGACGGUACCUAAUCAGAAAGCCACGGCUAACUACGUG